rnacentral:rRNA from 1 species
CAGUCGCCACGGUAUACGUAUGUCACGAGCGUUAUCCGGAUUUAUUGGGCGUAAAGCGCGUCUAGGUGGUUAUAUAAGUCUGAUGUGAAAAUGCAGGGCUCAACUCUGUAUUGCGUUGGAAACUGUAUAACUAGAGUACUGGAGAGGUAAGCGGAACUACAAGUGUAGAGGUGAAAUUCGUAGAUAUUUGUAGGAAUGCCGAUGGGGAAGCCAGCUUACUGGACAGAUACUGACGCUGAAGCGCGAAAGCGUGGGGAUCAAACAGGAUUAGAUACCCCGGUAGUCCCUGUCUCUUAUACAC